rnacentral:lncRNA from 1 species
CACCAGUCUAGCUGCCGCAUUCUGGAUUAGUUGUAGUUUCGGGGUCACCUCCAAAGGUAGCCCCACGUAGAGGGCACAUAGAUGCCUGAAGGAAGCCAGCAAACAGGAUCUGAGCACCUGAGCACUCUCCCCUCCUGUGGUUUCCAGCAGCUGGUAUUCAGAAGCAUUCAGAGCAUAGUCAUCAUGCUAGUGGCCCUUAGUAUCCUUCUCCUCCAUGACUUUGUCCAAUCCUCUUUUAAAGUCAUACAAAUUUCUGGCUACCACUGUCUCCUGUAGGAGUGAGUUCCAUAGUUUAGCUAUGUGCUGGUGAAUAAGUCAAAGUACAUUCCAGCUUUAUUAAACUAAAUAGCUUUAAUUCGACUUGAAUAAAUGUGCCAUUAACUGUUAAAGUUUUGAAUAUUAUUGUGCUAUUAUCAUUCUUAGUGGGCUAUGUAAACUGCUAAUCUGAAAAAUAUUUUCUGUUGGGUGAAGGGCACUGGGGAUGAGUUCAUGGAAGCAAGCAGGGAGUGACCCGAAAAAGUUUGGGGACCACUGGGCUGGUCAACUUUCUCCAUGAAAUCCAUCUUCCUGCACACUCUAGUUCAUGGGUAGGCAAACUAAGGCCCGGGGUCUGGAUCCGGCCUAAUCACCUUCUAAAUCCAGCCCAUGGACGGUCCAGGAAUCAGUGUGUUUUUACAUGAGUAGAACAUGUUCUUUUAUUUAAAAUGCAUCUCUGGGUUAUUUGUGUGGCACAGGAAUUCAUUCAUUUUAUUUUUUAAAAAAUAUAGUCCACCCCCCCCUACAAGGUCUGAGGGACAGUGGACCAGCCCCCUGCUGAAAGUUUGCUGACCUAGUUAGUGGUGAUGAUGAUGAAGGGCCCAUUCAAACUGGCCUUUUACACAACAGUUCUUUCCACAUCCCACCCUUCAGAUGAUCUCCUAUUCUUUUGUCCCCUUCUGCUAUCAUGAACCUUUUUCCUGUGCAUUCAUCUAAUGCUUUGGUGCAUUAGAGCAUUUUUUUUUCUUUUGGAAAAAACCCCAAAAUGGCAGCCAACAGAAAAUAUGGUGGAACCCAUUGGUGGCUGCCAUUUUUGCGAGUGCCAGAUGCCAUUUUGUUUCCUCUCCCACCAGUUCCCUACGUUAGCACAAAACAGGAGGGAGCAAAAUGGCCAAGAGGUUGUGCUUCUCAAGAACUAUGCUGCUUCUCAUAGCCCAAAAAAUUAAAUUAAAUUAGUAUUAAGAAUAAGAAUAGUAGCCACUCACCUGUGCUACAAGGUAAGACUCCCCUCUGUGAACAUGAAGGCGGCGCCAAUGCUAUUUUGCUAAGGACUCCCUCAAAUUUGGGUGGGUUUCGCCAGCCUUGGUGCAGUGAUUCUACUGCCCAUAAGCCUCCAUAAAACCUAUGCUUGAACUAAAAAGGCCAAUGUGAAUAGGAGGCAUGGAACAUGCAUGUCAGUGCUACCACCAAUGUUCUGCACUCACACAGCCUCAUGUGCAUGAUGAUCUUGCCUACUUUUUAACAUUGGCCUUCCUGUGUUGAGCAGGAAGGUCUGAAAGCACCUUCUAAGGGCAUUUGGUGACCAUGCUUGGAAGCAUCCCCGGCCAACAUAAGGAGAGUCCUGCUUAAUCAGGCCAAAGGCCCACCCAGUUCACCAUCCUGUUCUCACAUUGGCCAGCAUGAUGCCUCUUGGAAGCCUGGAAGCAGGACCUGAGCGUGAGAACCCCCUUUUCACUUGCAGUUCCCAGCAAGUGGUACACUUUAGGUCUCAACAUUUCCACAUCAGUUCAUGAUUGUUGUUGUUGUUGUUUUAAAAGAAUAGGCUUCAUGAGGAUUUUAGUGCAAAUUUCUCCUAACAUACACAUUUUUGCAAAGCAAAAAUUUCCCCAAGAAAGUAUAUUUCUGUAUGUUGUUUGCCCUCAUUUUUAUGUACACUUUACCUUAGUAUGUGAAUUUUUUUGCCUAUUACAUGACUGGAGAACUGCACUGCAAAAUGUAAAGAAGUACAGUCGUACCUCGGUUCUCAAAAAGAAUGCAUUUCGGGAGUCCAUUCGACUCCUGGAACUGUUCGAAAACCAAGGCGCGGCUUCCAAUUGGCUGCAGGAGCCUCCUGCAGCCAAUUGGAAGCCACAGAACCUGCGCUGGAUGUUCAGCUUCCGAAAAUCGUUCAAAAACUGAAACACUCACUUCCGGGUUUCUGUGGUUCAGGAGCCGAUUUCUUCGGGAGCCAAGGCUUUUGAGAUCCAAGGUACGACUGUAUGCAAUUUGGAGGACGCCUGUAUUUUUGGUUCUCAUAUUAUUUCAGAAAGUGCUUUUCAGAUAAGUUUGCCUUUAAAUGGGAACAGAAUCCGAUUUCUCCCCUUUCCCCACUGUGAAAAUAAAUGGAGAUGGAUGCACUAUAAAAAGUGUAAAAUAAAUAAAUGAAUGAAUGAAUGAAUGUUGAGUAAAUGAAUGGACUAUUUUUUGUUUGUUUGUAAGAAGGUCAAAUAAUUUGCCCAACCCUUUGCAAAGCCAGUGACUGGUUUCAGCUCAGCAUUGGAAUUUUGCAAUGCAUUCAUGUACUUCUCUUUGGAAACAGCUUUUGUCAAUGCCAAUUAAGUCUUCAGCAUGUGAAAAAGCUCUUGAGAUACAAAGAGAGGCGACUCGGUGUCCUCCCCUAUUUAUCUACACACCACUCUCAGUCGUGGUGCACAGUCAAGUAUCAACAACAGAGCAGAACACAGUGGUAAAUAAUUGAUAUUUAAAUGAUUGGCUGCUGAAUAAUACAAAUCAACAGCAUGUCACUGUCUCUUGAAAUAUUUCCAGCAUCAGGAAAACAAAGCGAGGAAUGAAAGCUGGAGAAAACUAGCGCAUCACCAUUGAGCCUCCAUGUGAGGAGUGGUAUAUCUUUUAAAAAACAUAAGUCUAUAGUGAAUGUAUAACAUUUUUACAGUCACAGAGAUCCUCCAAAAGAACCCUAGGAUUUAAAGGGAUGAUUUGGAAACCAUGCAAGAUGGAUAUGAAAGUCAGGAUGGUGGAUGUGAACUCACGUAAUCUUCACCCCUGUGUCUCAGAUUUUGCUCCAUUUCAGAUCCACAGUGAAUACUAUGACAUGGUAUGAAGGCUGCUUUUCAGAAUUUUAACCCCACCCCACCUUUUAAAAGACGUAUAUUUAGCUGCUUAGAAAAGCUACGAAGUUUGGCUGCUGUGAAACACUAAUGAAUGUUGAAUUUUCAUGCAUUUAGUUUUACCUCCUUUUGAGGUUUUUCAGUUAAUUCUCUGCUAUUUUUACCAUAUUGUGUCAUUUUAAAAUUUCUUAAAAUGCUAACUUUGUUUUGAUUGAGCAGAUGAAAUAAAAUUGCAAUAUA